UACGAAGGGGGCGAGCGUUGUUCGGAAUCACUGGCGUAAAGGGCGCGUAGGCGGCCCUCUUAGUCGCGUGUGAAGCCCCGGGCUCAACCUGGGAACGGCGCGCGAAACGGGAGGGCUGGAGUUCGGGAGAGGAGAGUGGAAUUCCCAGUGUAGAGGUGAAAUUCGUAGAUAUUGGGAAGAACACCGGUGGCGAAGGCAGCUCUCUGGACCGAGGACUGACGCUGAGG
rnacentral:rRNA from 1 species